CACGUAGGGGGCAAGCGUUGUUCGGAAUUAUUGGGCGUAAAGGGCAUGUAGGCGGUUUGGUAAGCCUGAUGUGAAAUCCUGCAGCUUAACUGUAGAAUUGCAUUGGGUACUGCCGAACUUGAAUCACUGAGGGGAAACUAGAAUUCCAGGUGUAGGGGUGGAAUCUGUAGAUAUCUGGAAGAAUACCGGUGGCGAAGGCGGGUUUCUAGCAGAUGAUUGACGCUGAGGUGCGAAAGUGCGGGGAGCGAACAGGAUUAGAUACC
rnacentral:rRNA from 1 species